rnacentral:rRNA from 1 species
UGAGGCUAAUGAUCGAUAGGUCAAGAUUCCUGGAAUGGGUUUUGGUCUAAAUGGCGUGACAGCAUCUUGUUAUGUCCGCCCGAGGAUGGGACUGCGGCCGAUCAGGCCGUUGGUGGGGUAAAGGCCCACCAAACCAGUAACCGGUACGGGCUUUGAGAGAAGGAGCCCGGAGAUGGACACUGAGACAAGGGUCUAGGUCCUACGGGGCGCAGCAGGCGCGAAACCUUCGCAAUGCGCGCAAGCGCGACGAGGUUAUUCCGAGUGAUUUCCGCUGAGGAAAUCUUUUCUUAGAUCUAAAAAGUCUGGGGAAUAAGGGGAGGGCAAGUCUGGUGUCAGCCGCCGCGGUAAUACCAGCUCCUCGAGUGGUCAGGGCGUUUAUUGGGCCUAAAGCAUCCGUAGCCUGCUCAGUAGGUCUCCUGUUAAAUCCAACGACUCAAUCGUUGGCCUGCAGGAGAUACCGCUGGGCUAGGAGGCGGGAGAGGCGGACGGUACUCCGAGGGUAGGGGUAAAAUCCUUUGAUCCCCGGAAGACCACCAGUGGCGAAGGCGGUCCGCCAGAACGCGCUCGACGGUGAGGGAUGAAAGCUGGGGGAGCGAACCGGAUUAGAUACCCGGGUAGUCCCAGCUGUAAACGAUGCGAGCUAGGUGACACGACGCCUUCGGGGCAUCGUGGUGCCGCA